AGCGAACGCUGGCGGCAGGCCUAACACAUGCAAGUCGAACGAAGUCUUCGGACUUAGUGGCGGACGGGUGAGUAACACGUGGGAACGUGCCUUUAGGUUCGGAAUAACUCAGGGAAACUUGUGCUAAUACCGAAUGUGCCCUUCGGGGGAAAGAUUUAUCGCCUUUAGAGCGGCCCGCGUCUGAUUAGCUAGUUGGUGAGGUAAUGGCUCACCAAGGCUACGAUCAGUAGCUGGUCUUAGAGGAUGACCAGCCACAUUGGGACUGAGACACGGCCCAAACGCCUACGGGAGGCAGCAGUGGGGAAUCUUGCGCAAUGGGCGAAAGCCUGACGCAGCUAUGCCGCGUGGAUGAUGAAGGUCUUAGGAUUGUAAAAUCCUUUCACCGGUGAAGAUAAUGACUGUAGCCGGAGAAGAGGCCCCGGCUAACUUCGUGCCAGCCGCCGCCGUAACAC
rnacentral:rRNA from 1 species